rnacentral:rRNA from 1 species
UGGGGAAUAUUGCACAAUGGGCGCAAGCCUGAUGCAGCCAUGCCGCGUGUAUGAAGAAGGCCUUCGGGUUGUAACGUACUUUCAGUCGGGAGGAAGGUGGUAAGGUUAAUAACCUUAUCAAUUGACGUUACCGACAGAAGACGCACCGGCUAACUCCGUGCCAGCAGCCGCGGUAAUACGGAGGGUGCAAGCGUUAAUCGGAAUUACUGGGCGUAAAGCGCACGCAGGCGGUUGAUUGAGUCAGAUGUGAAAUCCCCGGGCUUAACCCGGGAGUUGCAUCUGAUACUGGUCAGCUAGAGUGUUGUAGAGGGGGGUAGAAUUCCAUGUGUGGAGGUGAAAUGCGUAGAGAUGUGGAGGAAUACCGGUGGCGAAGGCGGCCCCCUGGACAAAGACUGACGCUCAGGUGCGAAAGCGUGGGGGGCAAACAGG